rnacentral:rRNA from 1 species
AUUGACGCUGGCGGCAGGCCUAACACAUGCAAGUCGAACGAGUGGCGGACGGGUGAGUAAUGUCUGGGAAACUGCCUGAUGGAGGGGGAUAACUACUGGAAACGGUAGCUAAUACCGCAUACCAUCGGAUGAGCCCAGAUGGGAUUAGCUAGUAGGAGGGGUAAAGGCUCACCUAGGCGACGAUCCCUAGCUGGUCGGAGAGGAUGACCAGCCACACUGGGACUGAGACACGGCCCAUACUCCUACGGGAGGCAGCAGUAGGGAAUCUUCGGCAAUGGACGAAAUCCUGACCGAGCCACGCCGCGUGAGUGAAGAAGGUUUUCGGAUCGUAAACUUCUGUCGUUAGCGAAGCGGUAUCUACCCAGAAAGCCACGGCUAACUACGUGCCAGCAGCCGCGGUAAUUC